rnacentral:tRNA from 1 species
GGAGACGUGUCGGAGUGGUCUAACGUACCUCCUUGCUAAGGAGGCAGGCUGUUACAGGUCUCGCGAGUUCGAAUCUCGCCGUCUCCGCCA